AAACAAAACAAAGAAGAAGCAUAUGAAAACAACAGAAACCUCAUAAUAUCCAUCAGGUCACAAGUGCUCCAUCCAGUGUCAGGAUUAAGAUGGGGCACUAAUAACUUGAUUGAUGGAUGGAGAAUACAAUGCUAUAGCAAAACAGAGUUGCCGAUAGAGCUCUGAGCUGUGCUGCGGCGCCGGGCGAACUCUGCAAGAUCCUCAG